UUACCCCUGGAGUGUUCGUGAUUGCAUGAUUGUCUUUGUCCUAACGUAAAGAACGAAGGGUAUUCACAUAAUGCCUGUGUGCAAGUUCCCAUAUAAGGAAAAGCCUUAAGGUAAUAUUGGGCACCAACUUUUGAACUAUUAAGGUUCAAAGUAUAAUCAACAACACGGCACUUUGGGGGGAAA
rnacentral:other from 1 species